rnacentral:rRNA from 1 species
GACGAACGCUGGCGGCGUGCUUAACACAUGCAAGUCGAACGGAAAGGCCCUGCUUGCAGGGUACUCGAGUGGCGAACGGGUGAGUAACACGUGGGUGAUCUGCCCUGCACUUCGGGAUAAGCCUGGGAAACUGGGUCUAAUACCGGAUAGGAGCCAUUUUUAGUGUGAUGGUUGGAAAGUUUUUUCGGUGUAGGAUGAGCUCGCGGCCUAUCAGCUUGUUGGUGGGGUAAUGGCCUACCAAGGCGGCGACGGGUAGCCGGCCUGAGAGGGUGGACGGCCACAUUGGGUCUGAGAUACGGCCCAGACUCCUACGGGAGGCAGCAGUGGGGAAUAUUGCACAAUGGGCGCAAGCCUGAUGCAGCGACGCCGCGUGGGGGAUGACGGCCUUCGGGUUGUAAACUCCUUUCGCUAGGGACGAAGCUUUUUGUGACGGUACCUAGAUAAGAAGCACCGGCUAACUACGUG